rnacentral:tRNA from 1 species
GCUGCCGUGGCCUGCUGGUUAGGGGUUUCGGGGUUGUAACCGAAGGGUUGCCGGUUCAAUCCCCGACCAGUAGGA